rnacentral:rRNA from 1 species
GAAUCCCGUCUUUGGCACGGAUGCACCAGGGCUUUUGUGAUGCGCUCUCGAAGAGUCGAGUUGUUUGGGAAUGCAGCUCAAAAUGGGUGGUGAACUCCAUCUAAAGCUAAAUAUUGGCGAGAGACCGAUAGCGAACAAGUACCGUGAGGGAAAGAUGAAAAGCACUUUGGAAAGAGAGUGAAACAGUACGCGAAAUUGUUGAAAGGGAAACGCUUGAAGUCAGUCGCGUCGACCGAGACUCAGCCUUGCCUCGGCUCGGUGUACUUCUCGGCCGACGGGUCAGCAUCAAUUUUGCCCCUCGGAUAAUGGCGAGAGAAAGGUGGCACCCUCACGGGUGUGUUAUAGUCUCCCGUCGGAUGCGAGGGUCGGGAUUGAGGAACUCGGCACGUACCGUGCUUAGGAUGUUGGCAUAAUGGCUUUAAACGACCCGUCUUGAAACACGGACCAAGGAGUCUAACAUGCCCGCGAGUGUUCGGGUGGAAAACCCGUGCGCGUAAUGAAAGUAAAAGUUGGGACCCCUGUCGUGGGGGGCACCGACGCCCGGACCAGACCUUCUGUGACGGAUCUGCGGUAGAGCGUGCAUGUUGGGACCCGAAAGAUGGUGAACUAUGCCUGAAUAGGGUGAAGCCAGAGGAAACUCUGGUGGAGGCUCGUAGCGAUUCUGACGUGCAAAUCGAUCGUCAAAUUUGGGUAUAGGGGCGAAAGACUAAUCGAACCAUCUAGUAGCUGGUUCCUGCC